CUGGGAACACCCUCUUCCUCUGACCUUGCCUGAGCAGUCAACCAGCUGAGGACCAACUGCUGUGUGAUGAUCGGCUUCCAGGGAUGACUUGAUUUGAAAGUCUACAUUCCUGCUGUGCUCUGGGUGCUGCAGACAGCAGCUGGAGGUUGAAGUAAAGGAGCCGGUUAUAAAGAUUAAACCACCCUUCAAGAUGACAGCUCAGCAAAGAAGAUGCUCUGAAAACCUGACCAAUCGCCCGACUUCAAAUCCUUGUGGAAGGAACCAUUCAGAGACUGAAGGAGUGUUGCAACUGGGAACACGCUCUUCCUCUGACCAUGUUUGGGAACACGCUCUUCCUCUGACCAUGUCUGGGAAUGCGCUUUUCUUCUGACCUUGCCUGGGAACGCGGUCUUCCUCUGACCAU